rnacentral:rRNA from 1 species
GAUGAACGCUGGCGGCGUGCCUAAUACAUGCAAGUCGAACGAACAGACGAGGAGCUUGCUCCUCUGACGUUAGCGGCGGACGGGUGAGUAACACGUGGAUAACCUACCUAUAAGACUGGGAUAACUUCGGGAAACCGGAGCUAAUACCAGAUAAUAUAUUCAACGGCAUGGUGCAAUAGUGAAAGACGGUUUUGCUGUCACUUAUAGAUGGAUCCGCGCCGCAUUAGCUAGUUGGUAAGGUAACGGCUUACCAAGGCAACGAUGCGUAGCCGACCUGAGAGGGUGAUCGGCCACACUGGAACUGAGACACGGUCCAGACUCCUACGGGAGGCAGCAGUAGGGAAUCUUGCGCAAUGGGCGAAAGCCUGACGGAGCAACGCCGCGUGAGUGAUGAAGGCCUUCGGAUCGUAAAACUCUGUUAUUAGGGAAGAACAAAUGUGUAAGUAACUAUGGACGUCUUGACGGUACCUAAUCAGAAAGCCCCGGCUAACUACGUG